UGAGUAACCUGCCCUUGACUCUGGGAUAAGCACUGGAAACGGUGUCUAAUACCGGAUAUUUCAGCUGGCCGCAUGGUCUGGUUGUGGAAAGAAUUUUGGUCAAGGAUGGACUCGCGGCCUAUCAGGUUGUUGGUGAGGUAAUGGCUCACCAAGCCUACGACGGGUAGCCGGCCUGAGGAGGGUGACCGGCCACACGUGGGACUGAGACACGGCCCAGACUCCGUACGGGAGCAG
rnacentral:rRNA from 1 species